rnacentral:lncRNA from 1 species
GUGUUCUUAUGUUUGUUUGGUGGGCUUUCAAGCCACUUGUGUUUGCAUUUUGUCCAAAACUCAUGAAGACUGAAGGUGUGGCUGGAAAAUCUUCAGUUUUAGGGAUCAAAGGAUCAUCUGGCAUAAUUAUGGAAAACAAUGAAUUGCCAGUGUUUUGCUGUUGAUCAUGUUUGCAGUUUUGCCAUCCAGGUAUACUUGCAGCUGAUAGGUUUGCAGUUUUUCAAUUCAGUCUACAUUCUACUAAUACCAGGUAUUUUUGCAUCUGUCAUAACUGUUGUUGUUUAACGGAAAUUUAAUGGCGCGUAGGAUCUUCAGAAGAAUAGCCGGCAUAUAAUAUCAGUUCACAUGUGGAGCCAAUUCAGAUCAUAGGCGGUAGAAGCAGUCUGAAGGUAAUCCAUUGCAGGUCAUGUACAAUUUUGAAAUGCUAAAAUUCCAUCAAGGCACUAAGGUGCAUGACCACAACCUAUUUAUAAUUAACACUAGUUUAUUAUGUUGUUCCAUCUCGAUAUAACAUUAAUAUGUAAAUUACUUUUAUUAACAGUAAAUCAGGAUGUUGAUUAAAUCUGGGAAUUUACUUGGUGCCCCAACUGUUUACAUGCGGAACUUGCCUAACCAGUGACGGAACUGUAAAUGCCUUGCCCUCACAUAUUUCAGUCAGACAUCAUGUACUGUUGGUAGCUAAUCUCAGUUAUGAUGUUUGCUCCGUUUUGUAGAUCAAUCUCCUCGAAAGUAAAAGAUUGAGUUGGGGGAAAGGUGUGGUUGACUGAGGCAGUCUUCUUCAACUGCAAUAGCCACACGCGAAUUUUGCAGGUAUGACUGCAAUGGAGAAGGACCCAGAAAUUAAUGGGUGUGCCUACAACACUGCAGAACGCUCAUUUAUGCGAGGUAAAUAGGCCCCAGUGAAGUGCAACUCUGCAAGGUAGCUACAUGUUCUUAUCAGAUUAAUUGACUUGAAAACAUUUCAGAGUCGGCUCCCCAAGGAGGGUGACGAAUUGACUUGCAACCAGUCCGCGGAAGAUCUGAAGCCAUGCUAAGGAAGAAGCAGCAACACUGCAUAGGCUAGAAGAAACGUAGCCUGUCAGCCUUGUGAUGUCACUCAGAACUUGCUGCGAUGAGUACAUCUCACAUUCAUAUAGUGUGUUAAUGAUGGUUAGUACUUCGGUCAUUCAGUAUUUGUGUGGCACAAAAUAUUCUGAAACUUGGCUGGCAGAACCAUGCCAAUUACUUACACUUCUUCCUCCUUGUCAGGAAUCAGACUGCAUCAUCUUCUGAAGAAAUCGACAUUUGUCAUGUUGUUAACUGAAGAAAUCGACACCCAGCGGUUAGCACCAAACCGACCGGGCUCAUCGUCGACCAUCCUGUCUUCAUCGAACGGCAGCUUACCGCUUCGACCGGAGUUACUACGACACACCGCCACCCUUCAUCGCCCAUCCAAUCGCUCUGAAGACUGGACGUGUCACUAUCUGAAUUUACCUUUUACGGUCUCCUUGUUCACCUGCUUUACUUUGGCGUUAAGUUAAGAUUACCUUUCACUAGUUGUAAUGUGUAUGAAACCCCGGAUCUAUCUCAGAGCCCUGGAUCUCAUCUUCCUACUCCCUCCAUUCCACAAUGUAGUGCUUCCUCUAUUCACGUGCUUCAACUUUGACCGUAAAUUUAACUAUCAAAACCGAUUGCGGCGGGGGCAAAAGUUAUAUCAGUGACUUCGUAUUCGAAAGAGGUUUUUAAUUAUGUAACUUUUUCUCCCGCCGCAGUCGGUCUCGUUCGCUAAAUUUAUGGUCAAAGUUCAACCUCGGGAAGCGUGGGCGCACUAUAUUUUGGAAUGGAGGGAGUAUUACUUGGGGUAAACCCUAGCCACCGUGUCCUGGCUGGUUUAAUCACACAUUAUAAUUUGCUGCGUAUAUUUUCUCUUGCGAUCUUCCUCUGAAUCCACAUAAUUGGUGCAAUGUUUGAGUGAUUUAGUUUGUGAACUACAGUAGUUGGGUCUUGUCAGUCCUUUGCUGCUGCUUGGCGUGGCAGAUGUAACAUGGAAAGGAGGGUACCUGCCUGCCUGUUGGUGAACUACCUACCUGCUCAUCUCAUCAGGCUUGCUUGUCUGAAGUCCUGGCCUUAAGUUUUAUUCCAGAAAUCUUAUUCCAUGUGUGCCUGCUUAGUGGAGCAUGCACCAUUGGUCAUCACCGAAGGUAAUGGAGUCCCAAGAUGUCAGCAUCACCAAAUGUACUGCAGUUUGCACAUUGAGCAGCUCAACAUGCUCUUCAGAUGAGCAGCUUCUUCUUGUCCAUCAACUGCAUGAUCUUAAUUGUGCUCCAGACUUGGUAGCAGCAGUAUGUGUUGAUCGCUUUUGGGAAGACGAUCCAGUUUUGGGAAGACGAUCGCUUUUGGGAAGACGAUCCAGUUUUCAAGGCCUUGUGUGAAUGGCUGCAGAAGCAGAACCAUCACCCGAUCCAGUUUUUCCGACAGGCCUUCAUGCAGUUGUUAAAUUUGUGAUGCUGUACAUGGUGAAGUGUCUCUUUUUCAAGUGUAAAUUCAUCCAUAAAAAGGAGAAGAUGAUUGGUGUUCACCACGUCUUAGACGUUCUCUAUGUAUACUAUCAUAGUAUCAUCAUCAUUGUCAUAAUCUUAUAAAACAUUCUAUCACAUCCAUGUUUUACAUCUCGGGUUAGAGCGGCGCACAUUUCCUUCUAGUUAUACUGUACUGUCACUCUGUUUGUCAGAUCUAACUUGCUAGGAUAAGAGGGUCAGGAGUUAUGUCACUAAAUCCUUUGUCAAUUGCUCAACAUGAGCAACGCGUGUUGCGAACGUGUAGUACUGCUCACUGUCGAAAGAAAGAAAGAAAGAACAUGUGUAGUGAUGCUUACAAAAUUCAGGGGGAGAUUCAUUUCAUUUUACAAGGUUUAAUAAAUACUGCUUGUGUAUAAUUGUCCUGCUUGAUCAUCAAGUCCGGUUCAGACAGUCCAUCGCGAGCAGUCAAGUUCAGUGUUGAUGCUGCGGACUCUCAAAGCGGCGAGACACCAUGAGUGCCAAGGGACCGACAGAAGAAGCUCUCUGUCACUGUGCAGAUGUGUCCUGCAUCUGAAUUUGGUGGUUCAGGUCAGGUAUCUGUCUCUGAAGAGCGACUCGGCCACUGUACAUUUGCCAAGGGACAGACAGAAGAAGCUCUGUCUCUGAACACGACGUUAUCUUUGAUGAGAGCGAUUCGACGAAUGUACGUACGUGACCAACAAGAUUUGCGUAGGGAGGCAGUUUAUUCAAGUGAAGAAGACAUGGAGAACAUAGCAAAAUCCCAACUUCAGGGGACGCGCUUCUGCACCCCGAGAUUCUAUGCUCCCUGAAUGAAUAGUAAAUUUGAAAAUAAAUAGUAAAAAAAAAUCUGAAUUUGACACUAAAGAUGGUAAAAUUUUCUAGCAGCCUGCAAAUUUUCACGUCGACAUGACUUCAAGACAGCUCCUUCCAAAUUUUUUUUUAAAAAAUGAAUCUUAGAAAAUCAAAUUUAGUCUUUUUUGGACGAGAGCUCUUCCCCAUGACACCACGGAUUUUUGCAAGCUCCUAAGAAAUGUCAUCAUCUUUAGUGCCAAAAAAAUUCAGAUUUUUUUUUUGAAUUUUUUCCUAGUUUUUCGAAUUUACUGUUUACUUGGGAGCAGAUGAGCUCAGGCUCAGCUUUGAGUUUGGCAACUCAGGAUGCUACCUGCCAGAACCCCCACUACCAUUUCUUGAUAUAGCAGCGUCCAGUCUGUGUGCAAGUUGACAGCAAUGAACAUGUCAUCUUAAUUGAAUGAACGCUACUUUCCCCUUCAUUUUUCCUUUUUGUUACUAUACACAUCUCUUUCCUUGCAGCGGCGUUACAAAUUCAAACCCACAUCUCUUCCAUGCCCGUACCAAAAAAAUAAGUGCACCCCAACCACACCCUUGGAUUUUCCUUUCAUUCUUACUCUACGUUGUUUGCGAAAUCCGAUUCUUUUGGGGUCGGCUCCCCUUUCACCGUUUUACAGAAGCUUCUGGCCGGGUUUCUUUUCUAUGUUCUUUCUGGUUUACCAGUUUUCUUUUCUCAUUGUCUCUAUGUUCCAGUUUUUUUUAUUUUCUCCAUCUUUAUUUUCUUUUUUAAAACUCAUGAGCAUUUUAAAGUCUGUGAACAUUUUUACUUGUUUAGUAAUAUUUAAAAUUCAUGUUCAUUUUUGAAAACCGCAACAAAAUUAAAAUCGCAAAUAAUUUCCAAAUACACAGAUAUUUUUUGAAAUUUUUGAACAUUACUAAAAUUCACAACAUUUUUAACAUUGGUGAACAUCUAUUAAAAUUUUGCGAAUAUAUUAUGUAUUAGUGACAUUUUUAAAAACUGAUAAAAACAAAGAUUUUUUUUGAGCCAGCAACUAAUGGUUUUUGAAGCUAUGCAAUGAAAAAAAAGCGCAGUGACAAGCUAGCUAAUAUGUCUAGGAAUUUUAGAAUUAUCAAGAGUUUCAAAAAUGAUCUAGAAAUUUUAAAACUUCAUUAAUUUCAAAAAUAUUCAUGAAUUUCCAAAAAAAUAUUGUCGAAUUGAAAAAAAUGUACGUGUACUUGAAAACUAUUCAUGAAUUUCAAAAUUUAAUAGAUGGGCCUGGGCAGAACACAGUACACGUACAUUUACUUGAAAACUAGCCACCCGUCUGGGCAUAACACGCCACUCCAAGACCACUCUCGAAUCGGCGACGCGUCGAGCACGAAGAUUCUAUGGAAGUUGAGGCAUCAUUGUGAUGUGUCAUGUUAGAAGAUUUACGAGUUUUGCCAGGCGGCCAUUCCAUCUAUGCUACCCACACACUUUCUAUCGUCGGCGGAUGAUGCACCGGGCGGCAUGGCGAGGACCAUGUCGUCGCAGCCACGGGGUGCCCGUUAAAAGGACGCUUACUUUGCGAACGAAGUUCAGAAUCAAUAAGGGUUCUUCGAAUGAAGGGUAGGUCCGAGGUUGACACGCGGCCGAAAUUGACGACGGAGUGGUACACAGGUGCCGUCACAUGGCAUGGCAUGAGGAGCCGCCGGAGAUAACGAUCUCCUUUUAAUAAUUUCUCUUAUCGUCCUAUCGUUUCGCAAGACCUAAUCUUGCUGUUUUCUUUUGAGGGAGGUCCUAUAUGACGCUCUUUGCGUCAAGUUCCUGGUGUUUUGCACAGAGCCUCCACUUGGCGGGCUUGUUGGGCCGUUUUCUGUUUCUACUGCUGUUCGCUUCCCUACUGUCUAAAAAAGAAAUACCACGGUUGCAGGGAUUCGAACCCAGGACCUAACAUUACUAGAAGAACACCCGUGCGUUGCAACGGGGUCACAUUAACUUUAAAAGUUCAAUAUUACGACAUUGGCGACCUUUUUUACCAUCAAAUCCUCACACACACAGACACACACUCUCCCUCCCUCUUCCUCACUCUCUAUCCCCCUCUCCCUCUCUCUCUAACACACACACAUAUCCAUCUUAUUGGGUACGGGACCAUAAUCCAUCUAUUUCACACAUACACGCUAGUGCAUAACAAUAUGGAUUAUGUGUAUUAUAUUUUCCAUCAGAACUGAGGGAAUUAAUUUCAUGUAAAUCGACCAACCACAGCUUCAAGAAUACGCGGACGAGGUGGCUCGGGUCGGCAUCGGCGCCAUCCAGCGCGGGCCACGGGCCCGCUUCCAAGUGCACGUGCAAUACACGUCUUCACAAAUAUUAUAACCAGAUGUGAGAAAUCACAUGCAUAGAAAAGACAUUCUGAUAGCAAUUCAAAUACCAUACUCAAUUGAAUACCUAACCUGGACAAUACUCUUAUUUCUAUGCGCCAGAAAAAAUGGAAUAGCAAAGCUAAGUAUGCCUACAUACGCUUAGAUUAUAUAUAAGAAUCCUGGGUGAACAAUUGCAACAAAGCACUAAGCAGCGAUAAAUUUAAAUAAAAAAUCCAUUAACUAUGCAGGCAGCAGGCUUGUUACAACAUAGAGAGAUAGGAAAAUGUCACCUCCAGUAAUGUAGCGCAAAGGAGUGGAACGAAGCAUGAAUGAGCGGUUGUCUGUUCUUCUCCAUGUACAUGUAUCAGCAGUAGAGGCCAAGUAUAUAAGUACUUGACUGAACUCCACUCUUCGUGUACGGAGAGCCAUGUCACCUUCUAGCCGCUGCAGCAUGGGAGGACGGCUGGUUCACGUAACCCUCCAGCUGGGGGAUCCAUGGUGGCUGACCGUCGAGCUCGAGGCAGAGAAGUUGAGGGCAGCAGUGGCGAGAUCCAUGCCGGCCAACCGGGCGAAGAGGAGGUCGUCGGGGAGGGACACAUCGGCAAGAUCCGGUCACCACGCGACCUGAAGAGUAACAGUGAUCUCCACAAGCUGUAGGCCGACGGCGUGCUCCAUCCCCUGCGAUGGGGUGACCAUGGCGGUGGUCACAGCUCCCCAUGCUCGCCUCGAUCUCGGCGACACACCCUAAGUGUAGGAGGCAGCAACGACCUCAACGAAAUCAUGGCCUCCAUCCCGGAACGCAUGAAGGACCUCGGCCCCGUCACUACUCCUCCCGCCGUAGCCGCACGCGGCAGCGGACCGUGGGUAGGAGGGCAGGCGGCGUCGCCUCGGCUGACGACAGGGAGCAGCAUUGAUUUCGGGUAGGUGGCAUCGCGAGGACGGCCGCGGCCGCGGGGAAGCACCUCGAUCAUGCUGCCAGGCCAAUCCUUCUCCUCCGAUCCCCUAUCCCCGAAGAUUGCGCCGCCGCCCCGGUCGUGUUGUUUCCAUAUAUUAUGCCAUUUUUUCCUGUACCUAAACAAACGCGGGCGAGCGGAUGGCAGAGUUUUGGUCCGCCCUCUAAAAUUGCUAAACACACUUUUGGUGAGGAUUAUUGUUAAUAAAUGAAUUCAAUCAUGUCGCUCUAAAUAAAUGGAUUCAGUCAUGUGACUCUAAUUACUUCGGAUUGUUAUGUGCACACUAAGCGGGGUGCAGUUAGGAAAGAAAAUGUUUUCUAAUUAAAGUGAUUGAGUGAUUUAAGGUAAGGUUAAUUAAUUUAGAUUUGAUUUUUAGUGAUUGUUAGUAAAGUAUGAUGCGUCUUUAAAAUCUUUUAUUUGUUUCCUUAUAAUCUAUUAUUUGUUUCCUAAAGAAAUUUGCAAUAAUGGAAGGUAUCGAUUGAUUUGGAUAAGUUAGUAAAUUUAGAUCAGUGGUUGCUUGCACGUUUGGAAAGUGCUGAUUUGCAAGGAAAGAGCUGAGGGGUAAAUAAACCGGUGAAUAAGAAACCAGCAUCGAAAAAAAUGUACGACGGUUAACCUACGAAAAAAAACCGGACGAAAGUGGUGGGACGAAAAAAACCCUGAAAGCGAGACUACCAACUGCUUCAUUAGGAGUAGAGAUACGAAAAGUGGUACUACCAAUUGACUAUCAGUAAAAUUGAUUCUUCAGCAGCGCCAAGCUUAAAGAACCAAACACGCAGCGCAGUCCAAAAUAUAUAUCUUGAAUUUCAAAAGCAUUUUUAUUAAAAAACCAAAGGGAUCUGUGACACACAAGCAAAUUGCUGAUUUGCAAAAAAAAAAACGAAAUGUUUGCAAAAAUCAGGAACAUUUUUUUGAAAUGGGAACUUUUAAAACUCCAAGGCAGAAAUUGAAAACGCGAACAUAUUUGAAAAAUGUGAAAACAAGUUCAUUUUCUGAAAAUUUUAAACUGAACAAUUUUAAAAUAUGCUGAAAAAAUGAAAACAUGCACAUUUUUGAAAAUUGCGAACAAUUUUUGGAAACGAGAACAUUUUUGAACUGCCCAAUUUUUUUUUUGAAAUUUGUGAACAAAAAGUUGAAACUGAACAAUUUCAAAACUCCUAAAAAAAGAAAACAUGCGCAUUUUUCAAAUUUGUGAACAAAUUUUGAAAGCGGGAACAUGUUUUGAACGGCCCAAACAUUUUUUCAAACUUGUGAACAAAAAUUUGAUACUGAUCGAUUUCGAAACACCUGAAAAAAUUAAAACGUGCACAUUUUUUAAAAUUGCGAACAAUUUUUUGAAAACGGGAACAUGUUUUGAACCGCCCGAACAUUUUUGAAAUUUGUGAACAAAAAUUUGAAACUGAACAAUUUCGAAACACAAAAUUGAGAGUGUGCACAUUUUUCUGAACUUUUUUUUGAACAAUUUUCAAAAAUGGGAACAUUUUUUGAGAUUCCUGGGAAAUUUUUGAACAAAUUUUGAAAGCGGAAACAUAUCUCUUAAACCGAACAUUUUUUAGUAUGUGAACAAAAUUUGAAAAGACGAACACUUUUUUUAAAUUCUAAAAAUUUAUAAAAUUUCUGAACAAAAAUUCGAAAACAGGAACAUUUUUUUUGCCUAGGCGAACAAAAAAAUUAAAACUGCAGAACAUGAUUUUGAAAAACAUGAAACUUUUAUGAAGUUGCGAACAAAUUAUGAAAUUCUGAACAAAGUUUUAAACCAAGAAGAUUUUUUGAAUUUUUGAACAAAUAUUUAAAAUGGGACAUUUCAUGAAAUUAUGAACUUUUUUGAAACAAAGCGAACAAAUUUUGCAAGUUAUGAACAAAAUUUGAAAACACGAACAUUUUUUGUAAAAAUGAAAAAAAUUUGUAAAAUGCGAACAUUUUUGAAAAAAAAAAAUCUGAGAAAGAAAAUGAAAAUGAAAAGAAAAGAAAAUCCGAGAAAAAAGAAACAAGUAAAGAAAAUAAACAGUAAAGGAAACAGGGAGAGAAAAGGAAAAAAUAAAUAGAAAAGAAAGAAAUCCGGUUCAGGAACCUUCUAGAAAGUUCCAAAACCAUAAAACGCGCAGACGGGCCGGCCCAAAACCGAACGAUCGCCUGAUCGCCUGUGCGAAGCAGCUUCUGUUUGCCGCAGAGAGCGGCGAAUAGGGAAUUCCUUCUUUUGAAUCACAUCCAGUCCCACGGAAAACCCACGGAGGCCUAUAAAUGGGCCGGCCCAAAUAGCUCCAUAUUUUUUAAUCCGAAAAAUUACUUUAUUUAAAAAAAUCUGUUCUGAAAUACAUAUACAUAUAUUAAUAAAAUUCAUACAUUUGAUAUUUGUUCCCACUUGUUUGCAAAGUAGUCCAUGUGUUUUAAAAGAGUUUAUGUAUUUUGAAAAGUGUAUGUGUAUUUCAAUAAAUGCUAAUGUGUUUAAAAAGUUAAAUGUUUUUUAAAAAUAUUUAUGGUUUUGAAAAAAAAUCUUUUUUUUCAAAAAGUCAUGUAUGGCUCAAUCUAUGCUCAUGACAAUAAAAAAUGUUUGCAUGCCUUAAAACAAAGAGAGAGAAAAGACCGAUAAAACAGAAAAAUAGAAAGCAUGUGUUUUUUUAUAAAUGGCCGGUCCAUGGACGUCAAGGGGGUGCAGAUUGUAGUGUUUAUUACAUAUAUAAGAACACAAUGUAAAGACUAUUAUGGGGGGGAGGGGACAGGGGGUUCUUGCCCCCCUCCCUACCUCGUGCUUCACCAUGUGUUUAUUUAUUCAGUAUUUGUUUAUGGUUGAUUACAUGCAUCUUAUAAUCACAUGGUAUGGGGCAUGGGUUGGUACUUCAAUACUUGUCUGCCAGUGACUCUUUUUCCAAUUCACGUGCUCAAUCGGCAUUUACAUCCACAGAGCACAGCUUGUUGAACAAUUAGGUAAAUUCCAAGUAUUGGUGGACUAUGAUAUUUUCUCUUCUCUUGUGCUUUAGUGCUUUUUAUUCCCUCUUGUAUCCCCUCUUGACGAAGGUUAGUAGCACCCUUCUCUUUCUCCCACCUCGUUUUGGUUUUCCAUGUUAAUGUCUUCCGCCCUAGCUACCCCAACUGACGAGCUCAUUGCAAAUCCACGAACGUCAUCCGUUUCCUCACGGGAGAAGGGGACGCCAGGGAGAAGAAGGGAGACCUGGUCUAUCUGCAGGUAUGUAUUCCAUGGAUUUAAUAUGCUCAUGUUUCUUUCUUGGGUGUUUCAUGCUCCUGUUGCUUUAAUUUCUUGGAUCUCUUGCCUAACUGGCUUUUCCUAAGAAACUCUGCCUUUCAUGGCUAGCUCUGGGCAUUUCUAACCGAUCCCUUAAAAAAUAGAGGGUUAAACCUUAGUGGAGUAAUAUUUACUACAGUAAGUUUUGGCCGGACCUAGCCGAUCCAUUGUAUAUAACAUAGUAAAUUUAAAUUUGGCUCAUACAUUUUGUCAAACACUUGCUAUGCACAUCCGAGGAGAGUAUAUUUUAAAUUGUUCACGUGUUUCAAAAAAAAUGUUUGUGGUUUUUUUAAUAGUGAAAGUUUGCCAAAAAGAAGAAGUUUUCUGAACAUGAAUGAAUUAGUGGCGCUAUUACCAUUGAAGAAGAAAGAAAAUAAGAAAACUAAAACUAAAUCAAAAUAAUGAAAUAUGAAAGAAUGAAUAAGUGACAAUGCUACUGCCUUUCAAGAAGAAAGAAAGUGAAAUAAACAAAAAAAAUGAAGAAUGAAUUAGUGAAAUUUUUAUUACCCUUUAUAAAUGAAAGAUAAUCUAAAACAACAAAUGUAAAAAUUUGCACACAAUUUACGCAAAAAUUGCGCCUUUUAUAAUAUGCACGAAUAAGCAUAUAAUUGUGGAAUUUACACAAAAUAGAAGUUUGCAAAGAAGGGACGAAUUAGUGGAAUUGGUAUUACCUUAAAAAAGAAAUAAAAUGCAAUGUAAAUGUCAAUAAUGAAAUAUUAGAAAAAUUAAUGAAACCGUUUAAGAAGAAGGAAAAUAAAAAAAUGAAAUAAUAAAGUUUUCUAGGGAAGAAUGAAACCCUUUAAGAAGAAAGAAAAUAAAAAACAAAAACAAAAACAAAAUAAUGAAGUUUUCUAUGGAAUAAUGAAACCCUUUAAGAAAAAAACUGAAACUAAAACUAAAACUAAAUAAUGAACUUUUCUGUGUAAGAAUGAAACCCUUUAAGAAGAAAGAACAUAUAAACAAUAAAUAAAAGCAAAAUAAUGAAGUUUUCUAGGGGAAAAUGAAACCCUUUAAGAAGAAAGAAAAUAUAAACAAUAACUUGCACACAAGUAUGCCCUGAAAUUGCACUUUGUAAUAUGCAAUAAAUAAGCAUAUACAGUGCAUUUUUUGCUCUCUAUUAUAAUUUACAUACAUGGGGUAUCAUACUUCCGUGUAUACUUAGUUACAAACACAAAAAUCAAAAUAAAAUUUUCUAAGAAAAAAUCAAGUAUAGUGGCAUUGGUACCACCCUUUAAGAAGAAAGAAGGUAAAACUAAUAAUGAUACAAUUUGAACAUAAAUUGCACUUUUUUAGUUAUGUAAGAAUAAACAUAUAAUAGUAAAUUUUACAUAAAAAUAAAGAUUUUAAACAUGGAAUGAAUUAGUGGCAGUGGUAUCGUCCUUCAAAACAGGAAACGAAUUAAAGCUACAUAAUAAAACAAACAAAAGUUUCUAAGAAAGAGGAAACUAGUGACAUUGGUAUUACUCUUAAGAAGAAAGAAAAUACAAUAAAACUUGCACACAACUUUGCAGUGAAAUUGCACCUUUUAUAAUAUGCAGUGAAUACACAAUUAAUAAUGCAACAUUUUGCAGUCUAGUAUAAUAUACACAAAUAUUGUAUAGUAAUUUCAUGCAUACAUACACAUAAUAAUAGAAAACUGUAUUUAAUUAGCAAAAAAAAUAGCAUUCUUAUUACCUUAAAGAAUAAAGAAAAUUAAAAAAACAAAAUUUCCACACAAUUAGCACAAAAAAUGCACUUUUUAUAAUAUAUAGAAUAAAUAUAUAAGAGUGACGUUUCCGUACUCUAAUGUAAUUUGUACAUGUAUACAUUUAAACACACUCAACAUCCGGAAAUACACGUAAAGAAAAAAACAAAACUCAACAGAAAAAUAGAAAAAUAAAAGCAAACUCAUGAAAAAAAGCAUGCACACAUGAAAAUCCAGCCCAAGAAGGAAACUGACUGACCCAACAUAGGGGUCAGUCUAAUCCAAACAGCCCAGUACAACAGCAAAACAGGACAGAAAAAGGAAAAAAGUACACAAAUCUUAAAGCACAAUAAACAACCAGAAAAUUGAUUGACAACAAACAUAAAAGCCAGCUGACUGAAAUCUAGCUAAAGUGACAUUCACCAAGCCUGAGUUUGGAUUUUACCCUGAUGUACGAUGCAAAUAGCCGGAGGAGAUAGCAGCAACCUGUGUGCAAGUUGAUUGCAACGAGCAUGCCAUGCCAAGCCCAUGUUAAUUGAAUGAACGCUAUUUCCACUUCAGUUUUCCUUUUGCAACUAUUCACGUCUCUUUCUUUGCAGGGGCGUCACAAAUUCAAGCCCACAUCUCACCCAUGCCCGUAAAAAAAAAACCAACCACAUCCCUUGGAUUUUCAUUUCAUUCUUUUUUUAGCGCAAGCAGACAGGAAUAGAGGCUCCUAAUGACAUAUAUUUAAAACAGCCAACAGUUUUACAGAGUAGUUACAUGCUGGGGAUCACCCUCCUAAGUAAUUACAUCCUGCAGCCUGCACACAGGCAGUAUAGUUACAACUAUAGGAGGGAUGAAAAGGGGGAUUUUCAUUUUAUUUCAUUCUUCCUCUAUGUUGUUUGUGAAAUCUUUAUUCUUUUCCUUUUUUUUGCGGACGGCGCCCUUUUCACCUCUUUUUGGAAGCUUCUAGAAGCUCUUCGCCAUUUUUUAUCUCCUUUUCUGUGUUUCUUUCUGGUUUCCUUUUCGGAUUUUUCAAUGUUCAUUUUAUUUCAUCAUGCCCGUAAAAAAAAAAACNNNNNNNNNNNNNNNNNNNNNNNNNNNNNNNNNNNNNNNNNNNNNNNNNNNNNNNNNNNNNNNNNNNNNNNNNNNNNNNNNNNNNNNNNNNNNNNNNNNNNNNNNNNNNNNNNNNNNNNNNNNNNNNNNNNNNNNNNNNNNNNNNNNNNNNNNNNNNNNNNNNNNNNNNNNNNNNNNNNNNNNNNNNNNNNNNNNNNNNNNNNNNNNNNNNNNNNNNNNNNNNNNNNNNNNNNNNNNNNNNNNNNNNNNNNNNNNNNNNNNNNNNNNNNNNNNNNNNNNNNNNNNNNNNNNNNNNNNNNNNNNNNNNNNNNNNNNNNNNNNNNNNNNNNNNNNNNNNNNNNNNNNNNNNNNNNNNNNNNNNNNNNNNNNNNNNNNNNNNNNNNNNNNNNNNNNNNNNNNNNNNNNNNNNNNNNNNNNNNNNNNNNNNNNNNNNNNNNNNNNNNNNNNNNNNNNNNNNNNNNNNNNNNNNNNNNNNNNNNNNNNNNNNNNNNNNNNNNNNNNNNNNNNNNNNNNNNNNNNNNNNNNNNNNNNNNNNNNNNNNNNNNNNNNNNNNNNNNNNNNNNNNNNNNNNNNNNNNNNNNNNNNNNNNNNNNNNNNNNNNNNNNNNNNAUAGAGGGGAUGAAAAGGGGGAUUUUCAGUUCAUCUCAUUCUUCCUCUAUGCUGUUGGUGAAACCUUUAUUCUUUUUUUUUGCGGAUGGCGCCCUUUUCACCUCUUUUUGGAUUCUAGAAGUUUUUCGCUAUUUUUUAUUUUUUAUUUUUUGUGUUUCUUUCAGGUUUCUUUUUCGGAUUUUUCAAUGUUCAUUUUAUUUCAUUUUUCCUCUCCUUUUGCAUCUUAUUUUUAAAAAAAUAAUGAGCAUUUUAAAAUUUUGGCACAUUUUAAAAUUGUUCAAUUAUUUAAAACUCAUAAAUGUUUUUACAAAUCCAUGAAUAUUGUCAAAAUUCACAGACAUUCUUCCAAAAAAGUAAACAUUUGUAUAAUUAAUGAAUAAUUUUAAAAUUGGGAAUUUUAACCCCUGAACAUUUUUUAAAAUUCACGACCAUCUUUAAAAUUUGUCAAUGGAUUCUGAUUUUUUGAAAAAAUUCAAAUCUACCCAAAACCAGAGAGGUUUUUAUUAGCAACCGGUCGCUGUCUUUUUUUAAGUUAGCGCCUUGAGAAAAUGUGCAGCUAUGCAUGCUAGCUAGCGACAUAAGAGGAGCAUAAGAAUUAGCGCUACUGGACUGUGGCCCAUCAAGCUAGUGAUAUAGAGCGUUAAAGGCGCUAAAUAGGCAGUCCUAAGUGGAAGCGGUCAAUCUUAGCUCGAGCUCAUGCGAGCUCGGAUGAACAGUAAAAUAAAAACUUGAAAAAAAAAGGCAAAAAGUUCAGAAGUUCUUUUGUUGUAAACACUGACAAUUGUUUUCUUAAUUGCAAAAUUUCAUCAUGGAAUAACCUUUGUGGAAGACGUGGAAAAUAAUGCUCCAAAAAUGUUAUUUUCAAAAGUAUUUUGGAGCAUCUAUUUUUUUUGCCAUGUAUUCCAUGAAAGUCAUUCCAUGUUAAAAUUCAAGCAAUCAAAACAUUUGUCAACAUUUGCUACAAAAAAAUCAGAAUAUUUUGAUUUUUUAUCUUACUGUUCAACCAAGCUCGAGAGUUCCCUAUUUGAAGGUAAUUGUGUCAAAUUGUUCAGCAAAUACACAUAGGCGGCCUCAUGUGCCAGGUCCCAAUAAGAGGAGAGCAUGAGCAAUUUUCUUUCGGAUUGAUUCUUUUCCAUAGGUUUCAUAGCAGUUUGUCUGGUUGGGUGUUUUUCUUCUGUUUGUUUCACAGGUUUUUCUUUUAUACUUUUUGUCUUUUACCUUUUUCUUUUUUUUUGCAGUUUCAAAUAUUUUAAAAAUGUUUAAUUUUUUCUCGGAAAUGUUCAUGUUUUUUAAAAAAUCAGGAUUUUAAAAAGAUUCAUUAAUGUUAUAAAUUUGUUCUUGCAUAAUUUUUUAAAUGUACGCACAUAUUUUAAAAAUACUCAAGCAUUAGGCAUAUAAAUUUGGCAGACACUUUUUCUAAAUAUUCUUCAUGCAAGUAAAUAGGUGUUCAUAUUUAUUAAAACACGGUUUUAUGUUAAAUACAGACUGACCGGCGGUUGCCAGUGAAGGGUCCGCCCCAGUUGUCGCUACUUGAAUUACUACUUUCUACGGUUUCCUUGUUCUCCUGCUUUACUUUAGCGUUAAUUAAAGUUACCUUUCCUUCUUUGUAAUGGGUUUAAAACCCCGGAUCUACUAUGUGAGAGGGAUCCGGCUUGCCUGCUCCCUUUCUCAUGUUCCCAUCCGUGCUCCCACUUCAUCCUACGGCUGUCCUUUUUUCUUUUUCCUUUCUAAUCUAAUCAUCCCCCCCUGAUUUUAAGGGGGUGGGGCCGAACCUUAUUUUGUUCCAAUCAAAUCAAGCCACGUACGCGGGAGCACGGAUGGGAGCACGCGCAGGGAGCAGGCAAGUCUUGUCCAUGUGAGAGCCCUGAAGCUCAUCUUCCUGUACGUGGGGCCAUGGCCUGGCUCGCGUAAACGCGUAUCCUUAAUUUAUAACUAACUAUACUUUGUGGUGUUUCAAACGCAGAGUUUGAAAUUUACCUGAUGAUGAAUACGAGUUGCAGUAAACCAGGCUUGGCUGACGAUAUAUAUUGUUUUUUUUGCGGGCCUGACAGUCGAUAUAUAUUGUUGCUACCGAAAAUCUCCAAGGACCAGCUCAGUGAGCACAUAUGGUGUGAUGUAUGGCAAGGGACCGACAGAAGAAGCUCUGUCUGUGCGCCUCUCUGGAGAUCCACAAGCUUUACGAGCGCACGAGAUGGCAAAAUCUACACAGCUCAAACAAAUAAUGGUGUGGAUGCUACCUGCUAUGGAGUACCAUUUGUUUGAUACAGCGGCCCGUGUGCACUUUUAGCGUAUUAGAAAAGGAAGGUAUUGAUGUACUUACGAAAAGUGGUUUGAUGAGGAUGGUUUACCUCUUUUUGAAUGCCGUGAACAAUAUUUGUUGAAUUUGUGAUUUUUUUUGGAAUUUCAAACACAUUUUUUUGAAUGCCGCGGACAAUAUUUAAAAUCGGGACUGUUUCGGAAUAUCAUGAACAAUAUUUCAAUUUGGUGAACUAUUUUUGAAUACGUUUGAGUUUUGCUGAAAUAUAUUUUUGAAUUUCGAAUAUCAUUUUUGAAUUUGAUGAUUUUUGUUUGAAUUUGAAGAACAAUAUUCAAUUUUGGUGAGCAAUAUUUGAUUAUCGCUAACAGUUAAGUCUUCCUUUACCCAACUCCUUCGUUUAAUUUCUUCAAAUUUUUCAUAUUUUUUCUUGUUAAGGAUGAUUUACUGGCGCUACGCUAUAUGAGACCGCAACUUAUAAGUUAUAACAACAGCCAAACUCAAUAUCCAUAGUAAAAUCAUUCUUACAAAAAAUGUUAGUUGUGUCCUUCUAUUGAAACUAUUUUGUUCUUACUUAUUUCCCCCAACCUUGUUCAUAAUAACAAUAAUGUUUCUUCUAUAUUGGCUUCUACAGGGUUACCCGUUGUUCAAUGACUCCUUCUACUGCAAGCGUUUGACAAGAAGUCCCAAGGUACUGAUUGUUUCAUGUAACAUCACAAUGGUCACUGUUGUUUCCAUGAUUUUUUUGAAUCAUUUUAUUACCUAAGCAAUUAAUUUCCUUAUUUCUUUUGUAAAAAAAUGUUGUUUCUUGAUUUUUCAUGUUUUUACCUGCAAUUAUUCUUUCCGUUUAAACAACAUAUUCUUUUUUGCAAUCUUCAACCCAAUUCUAAUCUUUUUCAAAAAAAAUCCUUUAGUAUAUAGCUCUUUUCUUAUGGCAGGUACCAAGACAGAAGCUUCACACUGUAAUUGAAAGAUGUACAACUUUUUAAAUAUUCCACUGCUGAAAAACCAAAAUCAUAGCUCAUUUUCUUAUGUCUGAUCACAGAAGCACAUUGUAAAAUUGAAUGUCUUGUAUACAUUCUAUGGCAGACAAUCAAUCUUUCCACACAACAUUUUCCGCGGAAUGUAAGAUAAAAUGUCAGAUGUACAAAUCCACUUGCUUGGAGUACGCGGUGUGUGUAUACUCUCUCUCUCCCUCCUCUCACUUUCUACAAUGUAUGAGAGCAAAUACUUUACAUAAUUUAUUCCUUCUAGGACAGAGAACUCGACUGUAAAAAAUGCAUGUAUUCCUAUAUACGCUGCACAUGUUGCCGACACACAGGGCAUGAACCGUGGGUAAAGAGCCAUUUGUCCACGCAGGGCUGGUGAAAAGCAUGGGAGCAAUUCGGCAACCUCCUUGCUGUCUCGCCAGCUACCAUAUCCUACAAGAUCAAGAAGCAUACUAUUAGGAUUUCCGAGGUUGAGAUAAACAAAAAAUAGUUUUCUUGUUUUUUCUUGAAAAGUAAAACAUGAAAAACUCACAAAGUAAACACCAACCACAUUGCAUUCAGUAGUAGGCAAAAUUUGCUAUGGAACUUGCUAACUGCAAUUGCUUCUAAAGAAGACACGAACGUGGCUGUUGUUGCACAUCUCUGCAUUCAUUAUUCAACCAUGGUGUUGCGGUUUAGUGUUCAGGUGUACGCUGGCUAGCUAUCACUUGUAACGAAAAUGUAGAAGAACACCAUUGCUUAUGCAUGAGAAAACAUCAAUUUCACAAUAUUUUUUCAACAAAAUGCGAAAGCAAAUCUGGAGGUUAGCUGCUUCACAAUAUUCUGUGAAGAAAAGGUUUGGUCUUAGCUGAGUUUUAGUACAUAAGGCUCCAUGAACCUUAGUCGUUAGCACAAUGUUUAGCCCGAGAUUCAGUACCAGAUCAAUCACCACUGACAACCAGCUGGAAAAUAGCAGCAGUCACCUAGUGGUAAGUACUCUUCUCAGUGACGGGCUCAAGUUUUAGAAAUGGGUAUUAAAAAAUAUCAUGAAAAAAAAUAUAAUUUAAAGUGGAAAAAUCAACAAAGAACGGGUUUUGACACCAUGACAUGUGAGCCUUGUCCAAAACAAAUGAACAAAUGCGUGUUUAAAUUCAAUAAAUAAACCAUACAGAUAAUUGUUGUAGCACAAUGAAAAUUUGCAAACUUCGGCCUUAUUGAAACCGAAUUUUUGUCACAAAGACACAAUUUUAGCAUAUCUUUGCCAUUUCUAAUGUCAAAAUAUCUCAUGCUCAUUGAAACACAUGAUUUUUUUAUCUAGACAUGUAAUAAUGAUCAAAAUAUAAUCCAAGUGAAAGAGAGGAAAUGAGGAACCCAGGUAAUAAUGUCUCAACCAACUACUCUACAACUUCAUCCCUUUUAAUAUUCCAUGACGAAAUUAUACUAUUGUAUGUUAGACAGAACAAUACAUAUUAUUAUUUUGCCAAAAUUAACGUGUAUUCAGCAGAAUACCCAUAAAUUAUGGUGGGCCCGCUCUUAACUCUGCUACGAAUCUUCGGGGCAUUGAUCGACAUGCAACCACCUAGUGAAACUAGUCAGCUAUGGAUCUUUAGGACACGAAUCAACUUAACACACAUUUAUGACCCAGGUAGUGUAUAACAUGUUAGCUAAUCUUGACUCCUUGUAUGCAAUUGUGGUAGCAACAGAACUUCAACAUAAUGUAGUUUUUUGCCUCUGUUAUUUUUGGUUCUUUUUGUAAAUAUUCUGUGCAGGUUUGUCGGUUUUCACUUCUUAAUGAAAUAGCCAGAGGACAUGCUUUUCUCGUAAAUAAUACUACAUUUGUUCCAAAUUAGCUGUCGCUCAAACAGAUGUAUGUAGCACUGAAAUACGUCUAGAUACACCCAUUUCAGUGACAACUAAUAUUGGAGGGAGUACAUUUCUAUUGAACCAAAACCAACACUCCUCCAAGCUAAUUGAUUGCCACCUUAAUGCUCUACAAUAAUUACUUAUCUAAGUUGACUACAGUUGGUUCUUCUAUAAUAUGUGAUAAUGUCUUUUUGGUGUCUAUAUAAAAAUUUAAAUUUAGUGUAAUCAUGGAGUAUUUAGGAUGUCAACUUUGUGUAUGUUUUCAAGUACCGCAGAGUCCUAUAGAGCAGUGACUGCAACUUCAAUCAGAAUCAGGACUGUUCCCUUAAGAAUCCAGGAUAUUUACGUCUGCUCCCGCGGUGCAUAGGCAGACUGUUCAAUCCACAGCUAAGUCUAUUUGCGUAAUGUGUUUUCUUGUACUUGGUAGUUUCCUGUGUUCUCUUUUGGUUUCUUGCUUGAAAGUGUUUUAACAUUUGUUGUGAAGCUUUCCGCAAAAAAAAACAUUUGUUGUGAAGCACUGGCAAAAGAUCCUCUAAAUGAUGUGUGCUUUAAUCGUUUUGCUUAUACACACCUUAACAAUAUCCAUGCUUUAACCUGGUAUUUUCCCAUCAUUUUUUUCAUUUCACCUCAAGACAUACACCUUUAUUCAAUACAUACACAGUUUUGUCACCUCUAUUUUGUGACGCUAUUUAAUAUCUACCUCUUCUUUGGCAUCAGGUUACUUAUUAUUAUUUCUUUAGAAGAGUUCCUUCAACCAUUUAUGAUUUUUGAGGAUUUAAACGUUGGAUGCUAACCAACUCAAAAUUAUUGUAUUUCGCCUCUUGGUCAAAUUCCGGUCAUACUAAGUGACUUUGUGUCUGGUAGCUAGCUUCUAAUUCAUGUUAUUAGAAUUAAGUUCCACUUGAUAAAGGAAUUGUGUAUCCAUGGAUAAUAAUGUUGCCCCCUGUAUAUGCUCUGCUUGUCAGUUUGGAAGAGCGGUGAAUUUCAUCAACUCUCUUCGCACAUUCUUCUCUAAAGAUGGCAUUAGUAUUCGGCUCUCCUGCCCCUACACUUCCCUCAAAACAGCCAAGACGAACGACUCAUUCGCUCAACCAAAGAAAUUGUUCGUAUGCUCCUCAUUCAAGCAAACUUUCCACCACCAUUUUGGGUUGAAGCCCUCCAUACCGCCACCUAUCUCCUCAAUCGCCACCCAUCCAGUCCCAUUAAUUUUCUUACGCCCUACUAUCUUCUCUUUGGUGUCCAUCCAACAUACAACCAUCUCCGCGUCUUUGGCUGCUUAUGCUCCCCAAACACAUAUGCCACGUCCCUCAUAUGCGUUGCAAUAUCUCACCUUGGCACGCCUAGAUUUAUCUUAUGCAGUACAACAAGUUUGCCUCUUCAUGAAUGAUCCCCGUGACUCACAUUUUCAGCUCAUAGAACACAUUUUGCGUUAUAUCUGGGGCAGCACAUAGCUUGGUUUGCAACUAUAUCAAUCCUCCACUCACGAUUUGAUUGCAUACUGGGAUGCCGAUUGGGCGGGUUGUAUACUCGCAAACCCACCUCUGGAUUUUGUGUAUUCUUGGGCAACAAUGUCGUGUCUUGGUCUUCGAAACGGCAACAUAUUGUUCCUCGCUCUAGUGCUGAGGCGGAGUAUUCGGUUGCCAAUUGUGUUGCUAAGUCAUGUUGGCUUCCCCAACUUCUGACCGAGCUCCAUCAUCCACCGGAUCAUGCAACUGUCGUCUAUUGUGAGUUUGUGACAAUGUGAACGCGAUGUAUUUGUCUUCGAACCCAAUAGAACAUCAGUGGGCGAAGCAUGUGGAGAUUAAUCAUCAUUUUUGUUCGGGAUCGCGUCAAGUCGGGUGAGGAUCAUGUUCUACAUAUACCCACAACGUCACAGACUCGCAGUUUGCCGACAUAUUCACAAAAGGGCUCCCAACUACUGUCUUCACCGAGUUUCACAACUGUCUCAAUGUCACGUCCAGCGUUGUUUCCACAAUAGGGGCGUUGAACAUUAUGUGUUGCACGUGUUAUCUCUUAUGUAUGUACGUGUGUUAUGACAGCCGAUCCAGUUUUCUAGGGAUAGCACAAGAUACGAGCGUGCAUGCACCUGCACGACCCUCUCUCUUGAAGGAAAUAUGCCCUAGAGGCAAUAAUAAAGUUAUUAUUUAUUUCCUUAUUUCAUGAUAAAUGUUUAUUAUUCAUGCUAGAAUUGUAUUAACCGGAAAUAUAAUACAUGUGUGAAUACAUAGACAAACAUAGUGUCACUAGUAUGCCUCUACUUGACUAGCUCGUUUAUCAGAGAUGGUUAUGUUUCCUAGCCAUGGACAAAAGAGUUGUCAUUUGAUUAACGGGGGAUCACAUCAUUAGGAGAAUGAUGUGAUUGACUUGACCCAUUCCGUUAGCUUAGCACUUGAUCGUUUAGUAUGUUGCUAUUGCUUUCUUCAUGACUUAUACAUGUUCCUGUAACUAUGAGAUUAUGCAACUCCCGUUUACCGGAGGAACACUUUGGGUACUACCAAACGUCACAACGUAACUGGGUGAUUAUAAAGGAGUACUACAGGUGUCUCCGAAGGUACAUGUUGAGUUGGCGUAUUUCGAGAUUAGGUUUUGUCACUCCGAUUGUCGGAGAGGUAUCUCUGGGCCCUCUCGGUAAUGCACAUCAUUAUAAGCCUUGCAAGCAAUGUGACCAAUGAGUUGGUUACGGGAUGAUGCAUUACAGAACGAGUAAAGAGACUUGCCGGUGACGAGAUUGAACUAGGUAUUGGAUACCGACGAUCGAAUCUCGGGCAAGUAACAUACCGAUGACAAAGGGAACAACGUAUGUUGUUAUGCGGUUUGACCGAUAAAGAUCUUCGUAGAAUAUGUAGGAGCCAAUAUGGGCAUCCAGGUCCUGCUAUUGGUUAUUGACCGAGAAUAGUUCUAGGUCAUGUCUACAUAGUUCUCGAACCCGUAGGGUCCGCACGCUUAAGGUUUCGAUGACAGUUAUAUUAUGAGUUUAUGAGUUUUGAUGUACCGAAGGAGUUCGGAGUCCCGGAUGAGAUCGGGGACAUGACGAGGAGUCUCGGAAUGGUCGAGACAUAAAGAUUGAUAUAUUGGACGACUAUAUUCGAACACCGGAAAGGUUCCGGGAGUUUUCGGAGAAAACCGGAGUACCGGAGGGUUACCGGAACCCCCCCGGGAAGUAAUGGGCCUUGAUGGGCCCUAUUGGAGAAAGAGAGGGGCCGGCCAGGGUAAGUGGCGCGCCCCCUCCCCUUGAGUCCGAAUAGGACAAGGAAGGGGGGGGGGGGGGCGGCGCCCCCCUUGCCUUCCCCCUCUCCUACUCCUUCCUUCCCCCUCCUUCUUGGAUUACGAAAAGGAGGGGGGAAACCUACUUGGAGUAGGUUUCCCCCUCCUAGGGUGCGCCUGCCCUUAGGCCGGCCCCCUCCUCCCUCCCUCCUUUAUAUACGGGGGCGGGGGGCACCCCAUAGACACACAAGUUGAUCUACGGAUCGUUCCUUAGCCGUGUGCGGUGCCCCCUUCCACCAUAUUCCACCUCGGUCAUAUCGUCGCGGAGUUUAGGCGAAGCCCUGCGCCGGUAGAACAUCAUCAUCGUCACCACGCCGUCGUGCUGACGGAACUCAUCUCCGGAGCCUUUGCUGGAUCGGAGGGCCGGAGAUCGUCAUCGAGCUGAACGUGUGCUGAACUCAGAGGCUACGUACGUUCGAUGCUUGGAUCGGUCGGGUCGUGAAGACGUACGACUACAUCAACCGCGUUGUGCUAACGCUUCCGCUUACGGUCUAUGAGGGUACGUGGACGAACACUCUCCCCUCUCGUUGCUAUGCCAUCACCAUGAUCUUGCGUGUACGUAGGAAUUUUUUUGAAAUUACUACGUUCCCCAACAGUGGCAUCCGAGCCUAGGUUUUUAUGGUUUGAUGUUAUAUGCACGAGUAGAACACAAGUGAGUUGUGGACGAUAUAAGUCAUACUGCCUACCAGCAUGUCAUACUUUGGUUCGGUGGUAUUGUUGGAUGAAGCGGCCCGGACCGACAUUACGGGUACGCUUACGCGUACGCUUACCGACGUGCUUUGCACACAGGUGGCUGGCGGGUGUCAGUUUCUCCAACUUUAGUUGAACCGAGUGUGGCUACGCCCGGUCCUUGCGAAGGUUAAAACGGAGUCUAUUUGACAAACUAUCGUUGUGGUUUUGAUGCGUAGGUGAGAUUGGUUCUUGCUUAAGCCCGUAGCAGCCACGUAAAACUUGCAACAACAAAGUAGAGGACGUCUAACUUGUUUUUGCAGGGCAUGUUGUGAUGUGAUAUGGUCAAGACGUGAUGAGAUAUAAGUUGUUGUAUGAGAUGAUCAUGUUUUGUUGAAGUUAUCGACGACUGGCAGAAGCUCUAUGGUUGUCUCUUUGUUGCAUAAGAUGCAAGUGCCAAAUAAUUGCUUUACUUUAUCGCUAUGCGAUAGCAAUAGUUGCAAGAGCAAUAGUUGGUGAGACGACCAUGUGAUGACACAUUGAUAUAGAUCAAGAUGAUGAAGAUCAUGGUGUCGUGCCGGUGACGAUAGAGAUCAUGACAGUACUUUGGAGAUGGAGAUCAAAAGACGCAAGAUGAUCAUGGCCAUAUCAUGUCACAUAUUUUGAAUAUGAUGUUUAUCUGUUAUACAUCUUAUUAUGUUUUGUUUGACGGUAGCAUUUUAAGAUGAUCUCUCACUAAUUAUCAAGAAGUGUUCUCCCUGAGUAUGCACCGUUGCCAAAGUUCGUCGUGCCCAGAUACCACGUGAUGAUCGGGUGUGAUAAGCUCUACGUCCAUCUACAACGGGUGCAAGCCAGUUUUGCACACGCAGAAUACUCAGGUUAAACUUGACGAGCCUAACAUAUGCAGAUAUGGCCUCGGAGCACGGAGACCGAAAGGUCGAGCGUGAAUCAUAUAGUAGAUAUGAUCAACAUAGUGAUGUUCACCAUUGAAAACUACUCCAUCUCACGUGAUGAUCGGUUAUGGUUUAGUUGAUUUGGAUCACGUGAUCACUUAGAUGACUAGAGAGAUGUCUGUCUAAGUGGGAGUUCUUAAGUAAUAUGAUUAAUUGAACUUAAAUUUAUCAUGAACUUAGUCCUGGUAGUAUUUUGCAAAUUAUGUUGUAGAUCAAUAGCUUGCAUUGUUGCUUUCAUAUGUUUAUUUUGAUAUGUUCCUAGAGAAAAUUGUGUUGAAAAUGUUAGUAGCAAUGAUGCGGAUUGGAUCCGUGAUCUGAGGUUUAUCCUCAUUGCUGCACAGAAGAAUUAUGUCCUUAAUGCACCGCUAGGUGAUAGACCUAUUGCAGGAGCAGAUGCAGACGUUAUGAACGUUUAGCUAAGCUCAAUAUGAUGACUACUUGAUAGUUUAGUGCACCAUGCUUAACGGCUUAGAAUCGGGACUUCAAAGACGUUUUUGAACGUCAUGGACCAUAUAAGAUGUUCCAGGAGUUGAAGUUAAUAUUUCAAGCAAAUACCCGAGUUGAGAGAUAUGAAGUCUCCAACAAGUUCUAUAGCUAAAAGAUGGAGGAGAAUCGCUCAACUAGUGAGCAUGUGCUCAGAUUGUCUGGGUACUUCAAUCGCUUGAAUCAAGUGGGAGUUAAUCUUCCAGAUAAGAUAGUGAUUGACAGAAUUCUCUAGUCACCAUCACUAAGUUACUAGAACUUCGUGAUGAACUAUAAUAUGCAAGGGAUGACGAAAGUUAUUCCUGAGCUCUUCGCGAUGUUGAGAUCGGCGAAGGUAGAAAUCAAGAAAAGAGCAUCAAGUGUUGAUGGUUAACAAGAUCACUAGUUUCAAGAAAAAGGCAAAGGGAAAAGAAGGGGAACUUCAAGAAGAACGGCAAGCAAGUUGCUGCUCAAGUGAAAAAACCCAAGUCUGGUCCUAAGCCUGAGACUAAGUGCUUCUACUGCAAAGAGACUGGUCACUGGAAGAGGUACUACCCCAAGUGAUUGGCGGAUAAGAAGGAUGGCAAAGUGAACAUAAGUAUAUUUGAUAUACAUGUUAUUGAUGUGUACUUUACUAGUGUUUAUAGCAACCCCUCAGUAUUUGAUACUAGUUCAGUUGCUAAGAUUAGUAACUCGAAACGGGAGUUGCAGAAUAAACAAAGACUAGUUAAAGGGUGAAGUGACGAUGUGUGUUGGAAAUAGUUCCAAGAUUGAUAUGAUCAUCAUCGCACACUCCCUAUACUUUCGGGAUUAGUGUUAAACCUAAAUAAGUGUUAUUUGGUGUUUACGUUGAGCAUGAAUAUGAUUUGAUCAUGUUUAUUGCAAUAUGGUUAUUCAUGUAAGUUAGAGAAUAAUUGUUGUUCUAUUUACAUGAAUAAAACCUUCUAUGGUCAUACAUCCAAUGAAAAUGGUUUGUUGGGUCUCGAUCGUGUGAUACACAUAUUCGUAAUAUUGAAGCCAAAAGAUGCAAAGUUAAUAAUGAUAGUGCAACUUAUUUGUGGCACUGCCGUUUAGGUCAUAUCGGUGUAAAGCGCAUGAAGAAACUCCAUAAAGAUGGAUUUUCGGAAUCACUUGGUUAUGAAUCAUUUGAUGCUUGCGAACCGUGCCUUUUGGGCAAGAUGACUAAAACUCCAUUCUUCGGAACAAUGGAACGAGCUACUGACUUAUUGAAAAUAAUACAUACUGAUGUAUGCAGACCAAUGAGUAUGAAGGCUCGUGGCAAGUAUCGUUAUUUUCUGACCUUCACAGAUGAUUUGAGAAGAUAUGGGUAUAUCUACUUGAUGAAACAUAAGUCUGAAAUAGUUGAAAGGUUCAAAGAAUUUCAGAGUGAAGUGGAAAAUCAUCGUAACAAGAAAAUAAAGUUUCUGCGAUCUGAUCGUGGAGAUGAAUAUUUGAGUUACGAGUUUGGUCUUUAAUUAAAACAAUGUGGAAUAGUUUCACAGCUCACGCCACCUGGAACACCACAAUGUUAUGGUGUGUCCGAACGUCGUAACCGCACUUUAUUGGAUAUGGUGCGAUCUAUGAUGUCUCUUACUGAUUUACCAAUAUUGUUUUGGGGUUAUGCAUUAGAGACAGCUGCAUUCACAUUAAAAGGGCACCACCUAAAUCCGUUGAGACGACAACACAUGAACUGUGGUUUAGCAAGAAACCCAAGUUGUCGUUUCUUAAAGUUUGGGGCUGCGAUGCUUAUGUGAAAAAGUUUCAUCCUGAUAAGCUCGAACCCAAAUCGGAGAAGUGCGUCUUCAUAGAAUACCCAAAGGAAAUAGUUGGGUACACCUUCUAUCACAAAUCCGAAGGCAAGAUAUUCGUUGCUAAAAAUGGAUCCUUUCUAGAGAAGGAGUUUCUCUCGAAAGAAGUGAGUGGGAGGAAAGUAGAACUUGAUGAGGUAACUGUACUUGCUCCCUUAUUGGAAAGUAGUUCAUCACAGAAAUCAGUUCAUGUGACAAAUACACCAAUUAGUGAGGAAGCUAAUGAUAUUGAUCAUGAAACUUCAGAUCAAGUUACUACAGAACCUCGUAGGUCUUCCAGAGUAAGAUCCACAUCAGAGUGGUGUAGUAAUCAUGUUCUGGAAGUCAUGUUACUAGACAAUGAUGAACCUACGAACUAUGAGGAAGCGAUGAUGAGCCCAGAUUCCGCGAAAUGGCUCGAGGCCAUAAAAUCUGAGAUAUGACCAUGUAUGAGAACAAAGUAUGGACUUUGAUUGACUUGCUCGAUGAUCAGCAAGCCAUGUUAAAUGAAUGGAUCUUCAAGAGGAAGACGAACACUGAUAGUAGUGUUACUAUCUACCAAGCUCGCUUGUUGCGAAAGGUUUUCAACAAGUUCAAGUUGUUGAAUACGAUGAGAUUUUCUCACUCGUAUCGAUGCUUAAGUCUGUCUGAAUCAUGUUAGCAAUUGCCACAUUUCAUGAAAUCUGGCAAAUGGAUGUCAAAACUGCAUUCCUUAAUGGAUUUAUUAAAGAAGAGUUGUAUAUGAUGCAACCAGAAGAUUUUGUCAAUCCUAAAGGUGCUAACAAAAUGUGCAAGCUCCAGCGAUCAAUCUAUGGACUGGUGCAAGCAUCUCGGAGUUGGAAUAUACGCUUUGAUAAGUUGAUCAAAGCAUAUAGUUUUAUAUGGACUUACGAUGAAGCCUGUAUUUACAAUAAAGUGAGUGGGAGCACUACAACCUUUCUGAUUAGUAUAUGUGAGUGACAUAUUGUUGAUCAGAAAUGAUGUAGAAUUUUUCUGCAAAGCAUAAAGGAGUGUUUUAAAGGAGUUCUUUAAAAAGAAAAGACCUAAGUAAAAGCUACUUACAUAUUGAGCAUCAAGAUCUAUUGAGAUAGAUCAAGACGCUUGAUAAGAUUUUCAAUGAGUACAUACCUUGGCAAGAAUUUGAAAUAGUUCAAAAUGGAACAGUCAAAGAAAGAGUUCUUGCCUGUGUUGCAAAGGUAUGAAAUUGAGUAAGACUCAAAUCCCAACCACAGCAGAAAAUAGAAAGAGAAUGAAAAGUCAUUCCCUAUGCCUCAGUCAUAGGUUCUAUAAAGUAUGCUAUGCUAUGUACCAGACCUAUUGUAUACCUUGCUCUGAAUUUGGCAAGGGAGUACAAUAGUGAUCUAGGAGUAGAUCACUAGACAUUGGUCAAGAAUAUCCUUAGUAAGGACUAAGGAGAUGUUUCUCGAUUAUGGAGGUGAUAAAAGAGUUUGUUGUAAAAGUUACAUCAGUGCAAACUUUUACACUGAUCCAGAUGACUCUAAGUCUCAACCUGGAUACAUAUUGAAAGUGGGAGCAAUUAGCUAGAGUAGCUCCGUGCAGAGCAUUGUGGACAUAAAAUAUUUGCAAAAUACAUGCGGCUCUGAAUGUGACAGACCCGUUGACUAAGCUUCUCUCACGAGCAAAACAUGAUCACACCUUAGUACUCUUUGGGUGUUAAUCACAUAGCGAUGUGAACUAGAUUAUUGACUCUAGUAAACCCUUUGGAUGUUGGUCACAUGAUGAUGUGAACUAUGGGUGUUAAUCAUAUACAGAUAUGAAUAUUGGUGUUAAAUCACAUGGCGAUGUGAACUAGAUUAUUGACUCUAGUGCAAGUGGGAGUCUGAAGGAAAUAUGCCCUAGAGGCAAUAAUAAAGUUAUUAUUUAUUUCCUUAUUUCAUGAUAAAUGUUUAUUAUUCAUGCUAGAAUUGUAUUAACCGGAAACAUAAUACAUGUGUGAAUACAUAGACAAACAUAGUGUCACUAGUAUGCCUCUACUUGACUAGCUCGUUUAUCAGAGAUGGUUAUGUUUCCUAGCCAUGGACAAAAGAGUUGUCAUUUGAUUAACGGGAUCACAUCAUUAGGAGAAUGAUGUGAUUGACUUGACCCAUUCCGUUAGCUUAGCACUUGAUCGUUUAGUAUGUUGCUAUUGCUUUCUUCAUGACUUAUACAUGUUCCUGUAACUAUGAGAUUAUGCAACUCCCGUUUACCGGAGGAACACUUUGGGUACUACCAAACGUCACAACGUAACUGGGUGAUUAUAAAGGAGUACUACAGGUGUCUCCGAAGGUACAUGUUGAGUUGGCGUAUUUCGAGAUUAGGUUUUGUCACUCCGAUUGUCGGAGAGGUAUCUCUGGGCCCUCUCGGUAAUGCACAUCAUUAUAAGCCUUGCAAGCAAUGUGACCAAUGAGUUGGUUACGGGAUGAUGCAUUACAGAACGAGUAAAGAGACUUGCCGGUGACGAGAUUGAACUAGGUAUUGGAUACCGACGAUCGAAUCUCGGGCAAGUAACAUACCGAUGACAAAGGGAACAACGUAUGUUGUUAUGCGGUUUGAUCGAUAAAGAUCUUCGUAGAAUAUGUAGGAGCCAAUAUGGGCAUCCAGGUCCCGCUAUUGCUUAUUGACCGAGAAUAGUUCUAGGUCAUGUCUACAUAGUUCUCGAACCCGUAGGGUCCGCACGCUUAAGGUUUCGAUGACAGUUAUAUUAUGAGUUUAUGAGUUUUGAUGUACCGAAGGAGUUCGGAGUCCCGGAUGAGAUCGGGGACAUGACGAGGAGUCUCGGAAUGGCCGAGACAUAAAGAUUGAUAUAUUGGACGACUAUAUUUGGACACCGGAAAGGUUCCGGGAGUUUUCGGAGAAAACCGGAGUACCGGAGGGUUACCGGAACCCCCCCGGGAAGUAAUGGGCCUUGAUGGGCCCUAUUGGAGAAAGAGAGGGGCCGGCCAGGGCAAGUGGCGCGCCCCCUCCCCUUGAAUCCGAAUAGGACAAGGAAGGGGGGGGGGGGCGGCGCCCCCCUUGCCUUCCCCCUCUCCUACUCCUUCCUUCCCCCUCCUUCUUGGAUUAGGAAAAGGAGGGGGGAAACCUACUUGGAGUAGGUUUCCCCCUCCUAGGGCGCGCCUCCCCUUAGGCCGGCCCCCUCCUCCCUCCCUCCUUUAUAUACGGGGGCGGGGGGCACCCCAUAGACACACAAGUUGAUCUACGGAUCGUUCCUUAGCCGUGUGUGGUGCCCCCUUCCACCAUAUUCCACCUCGGUCAUAUCGUCGCGGAGUUUAGGCGAAGCCCUGCGCCGGUAGAACAUCAUCAUCGUCACCACGCCGUCGUGCUGACGGAACUCAUCUCCGGAGCCUUUGCUGGAUCGGAGGGCCGGAGAUCGUCAUCGAGCUGAACGUGUGCUGAACUCGGAGGCUCCGUACGUUCGGUGCUUGGAUCGGUCGGAUCGUGAAGACGUACGACUACAUCAACCGCGUUGUGCUAACGCUUCCGCUUACGGUCUACGAGGGUACGUGGACGAACACUCUCCCCUCUCGUUGCUAUGCCAUCACCAUGAUCUUGCGUGUACGUAGGAAUUUUUUUGAAAUUACUAUGUUCCCCAACAUCUCUCUCUCUCUCUCUCUCUGUUCCCUAUAUAUGUAAACAGCCUAUGAGGGAAUACAGCAUGUGUGUGAGUGUUAUUCAUCCUUCAGCUUUCUGUGCCUCAUGAAGCACACCACGGGCGGGUGUGUAAUUGCCAUUGAUGGUAGUGAUCAGUGGCGGGUGAUGACUUUGUUAAUUCAAAGCCGGGCUCUUCGCGAGCCUUCAUUCCAAAAUAAUAAAAAAAUCAGUGGCGGGUGAUAUCUGUGAACCCACCUGUGAUGAUAGCUAUCACUGGUGGGCCUUUCCACUCGUUUGAGAUGGGUGAGACAUCCCUGACCCAUAUUUUUCUCGAUAAAGAUCCCUGACCCAUAUGGGCAUGCGGGUGGCCAUUGAAAGGGCUUUUGACCUGCCGGUAAUAGUCUGUUCUAUGGCAGUGCAAGUGCAAAUUACGCAAGAAAGAUGUUUUCUGACAAAAAUGAAGCCUAUUCUGAUAGUGAUAAUUGUACCUGUAGACAAAUAGUGCAAGGCAGGUUUUCAUGAAAUGUGCUAUGGACCUGAUCAGUUACCACAUAGUGUGGUAAUUUCUUCAGGGACUCGGGCGAAAGCCCUCUCAACGAAAUGUCUCCGAAGAUUUCAUACACAUCAUCCUGACCAAAGCCGGAUAUGCUGACCUGUUGAUGAAAAUAGUAGUCUAAAAUUCAGUAUAGAUGCAUCCACGACACAUGACGGGACCUCUAUUAAUAAUUGUGAAUCCAACGUCUUCCUCUUCGUAGUAUGGGCCAUUCAGUCUAAUUUGAUUCUUGCACCAAAUGAUUUUUUUAAAGGUUGCACCAAAUGAAUACACUUGACAUCACCAUUACUAUGGUACCAAACAUUUUCAUGAACGAAUGAUCGCCAGUAUGUUCCUCCAAGGGGAACAAAUCGACGGUGGAUAAUAGUUUUUUUUUUUUGAAAUGGACGGUGGAUAAUACUCCCUUUGUCCCAAAAUAUAAGAAUGUUUUUCACACUACACCAGUGUCAAAAACGUUCUUAUAUUAUGGGACGGAGGGAGUAGUUAACUGACCUGUGACUGGUGUGAUGUAUGUGCUGAAAAUCCAAGCCGCUGUUGCUCAAACCGGGCAUGAAGGAGCUGCUCUAUGAAAUCUGUCUGAACAACAUACCAAGAAUUUUCUUAAAGGUGUAUAUAGAACAUACUGUACCAACUAAUAGAAACUAUAGCUUCCGCACGAAAAAAAGGGAAAACGACGUAGCAAUAGGCAAUAGUGGUAGUUACAACGGGCAUUCAGGCUGACAAGCUGAUGAACAUAUACAGGAUCAUAUAUAGUACUCCCUCUUUUUUUGCGAAAAUUUGGUAUACUCCCUCUGUAUUAAAACUAUAAAAUAUAAGACAUUUUUGAAGUUUUUAAUACGGAGAGAGUAGCAUUAUUCCUGGCUUUUUGCAGAGGCUGCAUGACCCACUUGUGCACACUCGGAAUUAAUGCGGUUGUGAUCUACACGACCUGGAUUGAAAUAAACAACAGCAAUUGCCAAUCAGGUCAUGUCGUCCCGCUGAUGCCACGUCCUGGCGUCUCCACUGUGGCCGGUGUAAUAGGGAAAGCCCCCUGAGUUGCCACAGGAUCAAGAAUCGAAAACUGAAAGAAUGAUGUACGUACAGCUCCGCAUACUGUUCAUAGAAAAUCACAGGUUAACCAUAUUGUAGCGAUGGCGGUCGUGAUGGCUGCUGGGGCAGCGCAAUAGCCGGGAUGACGACGGCUGGCGGCCGGCUGGUCUUCGGCAGCAUCAGGGAUGGCUGGUGCUGGCUUGGCGGCUUGGAUGUUGCUGCUGUUUUGCGCGGGGUGCCGGUUCUGGCUCGCACGACGGUGAUGGAAUGGCUUCGCCGACAAUGAUGCAGUGGCCGGUGGUGCCGGUGGGAUUGUUCUGGCCGGUAGCUGCUGUCUUUGGUGGAGCCGCGGGAGGUGGUCCUUGUGAGCCGGUUCGACGGCAGGAUCUCUUGUGGCUACUCGGGNNNNNNNNNNNNNNNNNNNNNNNNNNNNNNNNNNNNNNNNNNNNNNNNNNNNNNNNNNNNNNNNNNNNNNNNNNNNNNNNNNNNNNNNNNNNNNNNNNNNNNNNNNNNNNNNNNNNNNNNNNNNNNNNNNNNNNNNNNNNNNNNNNNNNNNNNNNNNNNNNNNNNNNNNNNNNNNNNNNNNNNNNNNNNNNNNNNNNNNNNNNNNNNNNNNNNNNNNNNNNNNNNNNNNNNNNNNNNNNNNNNNNNNNNNNNNNNNNNNNNNNNNNNNNNNNNNNNNNNNNNNNNNNNNNNNNNNNNNNNNNNNNNNNNNNNNNNNNNNNNNNNNNNNNNNNNNNNNNNNNNNNNNNNNNNNNNNNNNNNNNNNNNNNNNNNNNNNNNNNNNNNNNNNNNNNNNNNNNNNNNNNNNNNNNNNNNNNNNNNNNNNNNNNNNNNCUAGCUGUAGCCAGAAACGACGAUGGCAAACCAUGUGGGCACCGCACACCUUCUUGGAAUAGGGUGGUGCUUUUGCUUCGCAGUCCUUCCUGAAGGUGUUGUCUUGGAGUGGUUUUGGUUUGCCGGACCUGUUGAAGCUUGUUGUGAGGACGCUAGGGCGGUGGCCCUGGAUUAGUGUGCCAUGCUGUCUUGCUUGGCGACGGUGGUUACUUCGAGCGGAGUUUGGUUGCGGCUGAGUUUUGGUCGUCGGUUCAUCCAGCAUGUUCGAGGUGCCAGCGUGCCUUUGUUGUCUUUCUAAAGUCGGAGCUGCUGAGGAGGGGCCUUCACGGCAACGAUGACAUGAGAUGAGUGGUCGCUUCUGAUGCUUUCUCGGCGUAGUCUCGGCACUUUUGUCCUGCAAUGCUUUUUGAUAGAGUGGGAGCUCACUGGUUGCUAACGCGGGUGGUUCGGUUGUUUGGCAUAGGAUGGCAUGGGUUUUGGCGCCCGUUUGUGGCAAGGCUACGCUGGUGGUCAUUAAUGUUGGAGUCGGAGUCGCUGGCUCAUGAAUGAGGGAUGACGAUGGCACCAGAUGCCAACCUGGGUGGGUUUUUCUCCUUCACGGCGUGUGUAUAUUUGUGUGGAUAGCCAGGCCCGUCGGUGUGCCAUAUCGUUCCGAGCAUGUUGUGACGGUUUACUCCCAUUUUUCGCAUAUUAACCAGACAACUCUAUUCUUCUUUCUUAGUGAAUUGAGAUUUUUUGGGGUCAGCGAAAAAAGGAUAAAAGUAUUUUUGGAUCCAAAAACAUGCAAGCGUGUUAGUUGAUUGACUGGAUGGUGAAUAUUUGGGUGACUUUUUGGGUAUAAAUGUUGAAUGCAUUUGCUGCUUGUUCGAUUUAUCUUUCUAAAUCGCCUUUGUAGAGACAAAUUAUCCAAUUAUUUUAUUAAUGGUGUCUAUUUUUUCUCAUGCAAACAUUGUUAGUAAUAAUCUAGCCAUGCAUCCAGAUCGAUCAGCAUCUCGGCAAGGUAGUACAAGAUCAGGGCAUGCCUCCGUGCCUUACUAGGUAAUAAGUAGACGUGUGAAGAUCGCAUGAGCUGCAAAAGUAAGAGAUGCGUUGCAAGGUGAUAGUGCUUUGAGGAAGCUAGGUAGAUGUUUUUUCUUUAGGUCGGUUUAGUAAGUCGGUCGUAAAGUCCUAUAUAAUAGACUGGAAAUUCAUAGAGGCGUGCAGAUGCGGAAGCAUACACCUGCCUAGCCCUGUCCGGCCAUCCAAUUGCCUCAUGAUCCGCAAAACGAGGUCAUAAAAUGAUUUAAGUUUUAAUCUUUAAAACUUUGAUUUUGCAUUAGAAACUUACGAUUUUUUCGGUCGCUCGUAACAAGUUACAGAGUAGAAACUUUCAGCUUAUGUUUUUGUUAGUUGCUGAUACUAAAGUUGUGAUAUUGUCGGUUGCUCAUACUAAGUUUCAAAAGUUGGAACUUAACAAAAAAAAUUAAGAAAACUCAUCAAAACAUAUUUAAAAUAGAUCUUAUUUAAAAGCCCUCGUCGCGAGAAACACGGAUGUGAAAACCGAACUUAAUUUGCACUUUUCAAAACAUAUUCAAAAGGAAGAGAGGCACACGGCCUGCGAGUGAGCAUGCCCUCUCUGCCCGGCGCAUGGCAGGGAUCAUCAGUCCCUCCUCCUCCUCCUCCUCGAAUAGCGGCAUGACGGACGACAACACCCCGCCCAACGCCAACGCCUAUGCCGAGGGCAACCCCGCUCCCGAGACCCCAUGGGGAACCGGCCGUGCGAGGAAGUGGUGGACUCCCGUCCACUCACUAUGUUUAAUUACCUUUUAAACUCAAUUUUAGUUAAGUUAUGAACUCCGGUGGCUCUUUUGGAUCGAGUAGUAUAAACUUAUCUAUGUUGGAUUGCGCCAUCUAUGCCCGAUUAUUGUGUCCAUAUGUUGUACGUAUGAUCUAUGUAGCAUGGAUGUUUCCGUAUGGAUUUGUGUUUAGACAUAUGGAGGUUCUGAUUGUGGACAGGGACAAAAAAGGUGUGUCCGAUCAUUGAUCGCGGAUUCGCGGAUGCGUCCGCCGGCAAAUAGGGCCCCAAAUUGGGCAACGAAGUUAUACAUGAUCUAAGUCAAGGACGAUUUAGAAAGCCUCUAUCGGUUUCUGCCCCACAAUACACAAUCUUAGGCCCGAAUAUAUACUUUUUGCCACAUAAAAAAAAUGGUCUGUUUAGGACACAUCUAGAUGUGACAUACAUCUAAGCUGAUGUCCACUCUGUUUGUUGUCUAUUUUUUUUCUGUCCUAGUUUUUUUUUGCUCCAUUAUAUAUUUGUAGGAGAUUAGAUGUGACAUCCUUAAAAUACAUAUACUCCCCCCAUUCCCAAAUAUUUGUCUUUCUAGACAUUCAAAUGGACUACAACAUACGAAUGUAUGUAGACAUAUUUUAGAGUGUAGAUUCACUUAUUUUGCUUUGUAUGUAGUCACUUGUUGAAAUCUCUAGAAAGACAAAUAUUUGAAAACGGAGGGAGUAGAUGUGAAUUAGACAAACCGGAAGGAAAAAGCCUCUAGGGACACAUCCAAACACAGUACACACAUACUCUGAAGUCUGAACUUUGAGAGCAACAAGGGCACAGAAGAAAUUGUUACUAACCAUGGACAUGGAUGACGCGCCGAGCCGGUCUGAGCACCAGUAGGCGCGAGAUGCCUGGAGAACCAGGAUGGAGAGGACAGCCCCGGUGAUAGCUCCAGAUCUAGCUCCCCGGAGAACGCCGCUAUCGGAGGCUCUGCCCGCCAGCGCGCCGGUGACUGCUCCGGUUAGUGCUCCAGCUUGAAAGCACCGAUUCAAAACAUAUUUAUGAUGCAUGACCAAGUGUGCCCGGCAAGAAGGACCGACGAUAGAUUAAUUAUUAAUUACCGAGAGCGAAGAGGCCAUUGAGCGUGCCCGAGAUGAAGCCGGCGAUCAGCCUGCGGGAGGGCACGGCAUGCACGCCCGCCGGUGCCGGCUCUCCGGCUGCGGCACCCUCCAUCGAUCGCCUGCAGGUCUCCACGAGGAUCGGAGGAGAUGCACGGGUUUAUCUUUGGCGCACGCGCCUCGGCCUCGUCGGAGAAGCGUGGCUCACCUUGCGCACAAAGAUGUGGAAAGUAGACAAAGUAAAGCAGAUCGAUGUUGAAAGAAAACAAAUUAAAGGAGUGGAUACGAUAGCAAACAGUCACUUGCAAGGCUGCAACUCUCCCGAUCGAAUCGACAGUGGGUUACGUGUCGGUUCUUGUGUGUUUAAAGGAUCAGUGAUCAGGGGUGAAUUGGCGCGCGGUAAUGUAACGGCGAGGUGAUCGGAGCCGUCCAUCUUCACUUAAGUCGCGAUCCAAGAUCUGAACCGAUCCUCUUUUCUUCUUCGAUCGGUGUCUCUUCUCUUUCUUCAGUAUGGUCAGUUGAGGGCUGGGUACUAUAGACAGUGACCAGCCAACCACUCAGCUUGCGAGCGCGGGAGGGAGAGAGCCCGCCCUGUCGACAUCAUGUCACGCUCGCUUUGCUUCAGUUCAGUGGCUCAGAACAGGACUAGAUUGUGAAUCCAGUCGGUUUCGACUCCCGCCGGCAGCAGAGAGCAGCUAGCCAGUAACAAUCCAAGCGGAGGCUUCAAAGUCCUCCUCCUAGCUUGCUACGGAUGCCAACCUACAUAUCCUGCUCAGUCCUGUCAAGCGAUGUCGACACCUCUAGCUAGCUUUGCUUCUAGGCUUCCAAAGUGUCUCAGUCCUGUGAAUACAUACGUUGGGACCGAGCUCUGGUGCGAUGCCGACACCUCUAGCUUUGCUUCUAGGCUUCUAGCCCACUCCAACGAUCUCAAUCAACCAAUGCGUCUUUCUGUUCCGAUUCCAACCACUACCUCUACCAUUGUUUGUUCGUUUUCUUCCUCCCAAGUUUAUUGCACACUCACUCUGUCUGGAGCAGGGGCAGCAGCUUCUAACAGAUCGGCCGACCUCCCAAACCCCAGCAGACACCCCAUCUCCAACUUUCUAAAGGAGCAUGGUUUUCUUUUCUCAUUUGUCAAACAAAGCGUGUCUAUUUAAUCAAAUUUUGAAACACCGCGCACUGAAUUAGUAUCUCCAGUUUAGUACUCCCUUCGUCCCGAAUUAGUUGUCCGCGUCUAGACAAAUCUAAGACAACGGGAUGGAGGGAGUAAUUUGCAGCGGAGGUAAUAUUAAAUUAAUAUCUCCAGCGUAUUCAAUCAAGGUUUAUUUUUUCUUUUCUUUGCGUUUGAGCGUAGUCAAUCAAGUUGUUGCAGCCUUGCAGGAAAUAUUUCGAAGGGGGCCACGCUGUGGCUGCAGCAUUGUGGAAAUAUCAAGGCCAGGUCUAAAUAGUUCAGAUCUACUUCAUUUUGAUCACAUAUGGAGAGAUUGUGCUUUCUGUAACUACCUAACUAACAAGCAACUCAACCGUGCAGGCCAUAAUGACGGGCAAGCAAGCGAAGAUUGUCAUUUGCUUAAGCAGUCACAAAUACCAGAAGAGGCAGCCAACAGCCUUUUUUUUAUAUACCCAAACCUGGCAGACAUCUCCUUCUCAGGAACAAUCAG